UACGAAGGGGACUAGCGUUGUUCGGAAUUACUGGGCGUAAAGCGCACGUAGGCGGAUUUGUAAGUCAGGGGUGAAAUCCCGGGGCUCAACCUCGGAACUGCCUUUGAUACUGCAAAUCUCGAGUCCGAUAGAGGUGGGUGGAAUUCCUAGUGUAGAGGUGAAAUUCGUAGAUAUUAGGAAGAACACCGGUGGCGAAGGCGGCAUCCUGGACCAACACUGACACUGAGGAGCGAAAGCCAGGGGAGCAAACGGG
rnacentral:rRNA from 1 species